GAAACAGUAGAGUUCACAAUCACAUCUCUUCUUCUUCGACUGUCUUACUCCGAUGACUUCACUUCUUGUUGAUUGAAAAGUGCUACUUGAUUGUUGCUUUCGACGGAGUAUAACUGUAGUCAUCAAGAUGGCCUAUGAAAUAAACGACCAAAAAAUAUUUUAGGCAAAGUUAUAUCUCAAGGUUCAACGGCAAUAGGAGUUCAAACAAUGGAGGGAAGCAUUGUAGAGAAAGUGAAAAAAGAAAUAUGAGUCUCUAAGAGGUUGGAUUGGCCUCAUUGGUUUUGGCAUCUUUUUCACAUUCUUGCUGUAACUUACUUUGAUAAAAGAUUGCUUGCACCAGGAAUUAUAAGAUCAGAUAAUUUGGUUAACAGAGGUGGCCCUUUUGCUUGGUUGGCAGUCUACUUGGAUGCUCUUUACUAGUAACUACAAGGGUACUGGUUGCUUUGUUCUUGGACUCUUUUUCUUGUUUGUACGUUGGCCACUAGGGAAUAAUCUUGAAAAUCUUGGUAAGUUUUGGCCAGCUGUUAAGGUUUUCCUCUUCCAGGUUCUAGCUGUUGGAUGGAUGGGACAGUAUCUUCUCUUGGUUUAUUUGACCCCCUGAAGUUUAAUCAAAUUAUAGAGUCCCUCUGAGAUUUCAGAAAUCACAGGAAUCCCUCUGCCGCUAGUAAGCUGUUAGAAUCGUUUAUGUAGAGAUCAAAAACCUUAACGUAUCUUAAUCAUCAGAAAGGAGCCUAACAAAUGAGACCUGCUGGCAUUUGACAUUUUGCUGAUCAAGUGUAUUUCCCCGUAAAAACGCGGUUGUCACUAGUUUCACCCUUCAUCUUCUUCCUUUGUCGAGUUUAAGUUGUUGUCAAUGAUAACUUUUAGUCAAUCGAGUUGUGAUGUAAGUAUAAAUCUCUUAUAUUGUAGACCUAGAAAAUAUACUUUUAACCAUCACUUGUAACCCAUGUUAUAAAGUUACAAUCUUGUCUUAGCAUUGACAUUAUAAAGUGUCUUCAUUGCAUUUUGAAAAUCUAACAAUUUAUAUGCCUUGACAACUUUUUAAUACAACCUUUAAAUUUCUCAGUUCUUUUGUAUUUUAUUUUCAUGUUUGACUUGAGGUGAUAACAACAACCAUGGUGUACAUCUAAGAAUACAUUAGCAAUUGCAAUUAUGAUACUAAUAUAGUAGUACGAAAUUAUUGUUGACUCUGAUACUGAACCAAUAUAAUCCCUUAAUGUGGAAGGAACCAAACUCAAGAUUAAGUAUCUUUCAUGUCUCCCACAUUGAAAACCAAUGGAUAAAUCUGAUUUUUAUUAUCCUUGUCUACAUCAAUAAAUAAAGUUCUAAGAUAUCUACUAUUUAAGAAGACAUUGUCAAUGUAGAUCGCUAGAUGAAUGUUACUUUGGAAUACCUUAAUAGAGCAAUCUAUUGUAGCAGUUUUUUGAUAAUAAUAUGAAUGGUUUCUUUGACAUACCUCUUAAUGUUUGCAGUGUCUAGUUUUUUACCUAUCAUGCCUUCAUAUAUAAUAUAUUAAUUUUAUACCAAUCAAUCAUGUCAAUAAUGAUUUCCUUGUACCAAUAUACACGGUUAACCAUUACAAACAAUGUCUUUAAUAUUUAUCCUAAUGAUUUGGCCCUUACUUGUCCAUGAUGUGGCAGUAUCUCAUCUCUCAAACAUACAUGCUAAGUAUCCAUACGACAAACAUGAAAAUAGUUGCAACCUUCCAACCUUAUCACAUGUGCACGCCAUUUACAUUGUUCAUGAAAACAUUUUAUCUCUCAUCUAGGUAUUAUGAAUCUAUUAAUUUUAUAUUGAUAUCUAUUUUCCAAAGCAUGUCAUUUGAGUGUAUUGUGCAAACAAUUUUUUUUUUUUAUUAAGAAAAUAUCAUUUGCUUUAAAAGACUAUUUGUCACCCUUCGUUCCCUGGGUAUUAGAUGUCAAUGACUGCUUAGGAACAAGAGGUAGCCAAUUAAAUGGACGGCUAGGAGAUUCUUGACCUUUGGUGUUAUAUUAACGUUAACUAGACUUGCAUGAUUGAAACUAUUUGCACCUUUAGUACCAUAAUUAACAUUGAUAUUUUGUUGAAUAUAGAGUCUCAAAUGAGAAUAUCAUCCA